GCCAAAUAAUACAAUACACAAGAUCCAGCGCACUCACCUAUCCACUAAACAGCACUGUUUAGUGGAUAGGUGAGUGCGCUGGAUCUUGUGUAUUGUAUUAUUUGGCC